rnacentral:rRNA from 1 species
UGCUAUCUGCAGUCGAGCGACUGAUUAGAAGCUUGCUUCUAUGACGUUAGCGGCGGACGGGUGAGUAACACGUGGGCAACCUGCCUGUAAGACUGGGAUAACUUCGGGAAACCGAAGCUAAUACCGGAUAGGAUCUUCUCCUUCAUGGGAGAUGAUUGAAAGAUGGUUUCGGCUAUCACUUACAGAUGGGCCCGCGGUGCAUUAGCUAGUUGGUGAGGUAACGGCUCACCAAGGCAACGAUGCAUAGCCGACCUGAGAGGGUGAUCGGCCACACUGGGACUGAGACACGGCCCAGACUCCUACGGGAGGCAGCAGUAGGGAAUCUUCCGCAAUGGACGAAAGUCUGACGGAGCAACGCCGCGUGAGUGAUGAAGGCUUUCGGGUCGUAAAACUCUGUUGUUAGGGAAGAACAAGUACAAGAGUAACUGCUUGUACCUUGACGGUACCUAACCAGAAAGCCACGGCUAACUACGUGCCAGCAGCCGCGGUAAUACGUAGGUGGCAAGCGUUAUCCGGAAUUAUUGGGCGCAAAGCGCGCGCAGGCGGUUUCUUAAGUCUGAUGUGAAAGCCCACGGCUCAACCGUGGAGGGUCAUUGGAAACUGGGGAACUUGAGUGCAGAAGAGAAAAGCGGAAUUCCACGUGUAGCGGUGAAUGCGUAGAGAUGUGGAGGAACACCAGUGGCGAAGGCGGCUUUUGGUCUGUAACUGACGCUGAGGCGCGAAAGCGUGGGGAGCAAACAGGAUUAGAUACCCUGGUAGUCCACCCCGUAAACGAUGAGUGCUAAGUGUUAGAGGGUUUCCCCCCUUUAGUGCUGCAGCUAACGCAUUAAGCACUCCCCCUGGGGAGUAC